GACGAACGCUGGCGGCGUGCCUAAUACAUGCAAGUAGAACGCUGAAGGAGGAGCUUGCUUCUCUGGAUGAGUUGCGAACGGGUGAGUAACGCGUAGGUAACCUGCCUGGUAGCGGGGGAUAACUAUUGGAAACGAUAGCUAAUACCGCAUAACAGUAGAUAUCGCAUGAUAUCUACUUGAAAGGUGCAAUUGCAUCACUACCAGAUGGACCUGCGUUGUAUUAGCUAGUUGGUGAGGUAACGGCUCACCAAGGCGACGAUACAUAGCCGACCUGAGAGGGUGAUCGGCCACACUGGGACUGAGACACGGCCCAGACUCCUACGGGAGGCAGCAGUAGGGAAUCUUCGGCAAUGGACGGAAGUCUGACCGAGCAACGCCGCGUGAGUGAAGAAGGGUUUCGGAUCGUAAAGCUCGGUUGUAAGAGAAGAACGAGUGUGAGAGUGGAAAGUUCACACUGUGACGGUAUCUUACCAGAAAGGGACGGCUAACUACGUG
rnacentral:rRNA from 1 species